rnacentral:tRNA from 1 species
UGGGUAUUAGCCAAAUUGGUAAGGCAGAGGACUCUGAAUCCUUAAUGUACUGGUUCGAAUCCAGUAUACCCAACUA